rnacentral:rRNA from 1 species
GAUGAACGCUGGCGGCGUGCUUAACACAUGCAAGUCGAACGGGAAACCUUUUAUUGAAGCUUCGGCAGAUUUAGCUGGUUUCUAGUGGCGGACGGGUGAGUAACGCGAGGGUAACCUGCCUUAUACAGGGGGAUAACAACCAGAAAUGGUUGCUAAUACCGCAUAAGCGCACAGGACCGCAUGGUCCGGUGUGAAAAACUCCGGUGGUAUAAGAUGGCCCCGCGUUGGAUUAGCUAGUUGGCAGGGUAACGGCCUACCAAGGCGACGAUCCAUAGCCGGCCUGAGAGGGUGAACGGCCACAUUGGGGCUGAGACACGGCCCAGACUCCUACGGGAGGCAGCAGUGGGGAAUAUUGCACAAUGGGGGAAACCCUGAUGCAGCGACGCCGCGUGAAGGAAGAAGUAUCUCGGUAUGUAAACUUCUAUCAGCAGGGAAGAUAGUGACGGUACCUGACUAAGAAGCCCCGGCUAACUACGUG